rnacentral:rRNA from 1 species
GCACCAGACUCCUACGGGAGGCAGCAGUGGGGAAUAUUGCACAAUGGGGGGAACCCUGAUGCAGCGACGCCGCGUGGGUGAAGGAGUACUUCGGUACGUAAAGCCCUAUCAGCAGGAAAGAAAAUGACGGUACCUGACUAAGAAGCCCCGGCUAACUACGUGCCAGCAGCCGCGGUAAUACGUAGGGGGCAAGCGUUAUCCGGAUUUACUGGGUGUAAAGGGAGCGUAGACGGCAGUGCAAGUCCGGAGUGAAAGCCCGGGGCUCAACCGCGGAACUGCUUUGGAAACUGUAUAGCUUGAGUACUGGAGAGGCAGGCGGAAUUCCUAGUGUAGCGGUGAAAUGCGUAGAUAUUAGGAGGAACACCAGUGGCGAAGGCGGCCUGCUGGACAGAAACUGACGUUGAGGCUCGAAAGCGUGGAGAGCAAACAGGAUUAGAUACCCCAGUA